UUGAACGCUGGCGGUAUGCUUUACACAUGCAAGUCGAACGGCAGCACGGGGCAACCUGGUGGCGAGUGGCGAACGGGUGAGUAAUAUAUCGGAACAUGUCCGGAAGUGGGGGAUAACGUAGCGAAAGUUACGCUAAUACCGCAUAUGCCCUGAGGGGGAAAGGGGGGGAUCGCAAGACCUCUCGCUUUCGGAGUGGCCGAUAUCGGAUUAGCUAGUUGGUGAGGUAAAGGCUCACCAAGGCGACGAUCCGUAGCUGGUCUGAGAGGACGACCAGCCACACUGGGACUGAGACACGGCCCAGACUCCUACGGGAGGCAGCAGUGGGGAAUUUUGGACAAUGGGGGCAACCCUGAUCCAGCCAUGCCGCGUGAGUGAAGAAGGCCUUCGGGUUGUAAAGCUCUUUCAGACGGAAAGAAACGGUCACGGCGAAUACCCGUGACUAAUGACGGUACCGUAAGAAGAAGCACCGGCUAACUACGU
rnacentral:rRNA from 1 species